rnacentral:lncRNA from 1 species
GUCAGGGACACCAUCUGGGAGAGGAAGGCCCUGGGCCAGGCAGCUGCAGAAUGGAACCUGCAAGCUCUGCCCAGCUGUGGCCCUGGAGAAGUCUCAGUGCCCCUCAAUAUGUGCAGCACAACUUGUCCACCCAGCCUGGCCCAGCUCUAUAGGGCUGGUCUGAGGACAUGGGACAGGGUGCCCAGCACAGACCCCUCGGAGAGGACUGCAGAUGGCAAAGAGCUCUUCCUGGCAGUUAAGCUGUGCUGACCUACUGGACAGAACACAGCUGAAACACUUGCUUCCCU